rnacentral:rRNA from 1 species
UAGGGAAUCUUCCACAAUGGACGAAAGUCUGAUGGAGCAACGCCGCGUGAGUGAAGAAGGGUUUCGGCUCGUAAAACUCUGUUGUUAAAGAAGAACAUAUCUGAGAGUAACUGUUCAGGUAUUGACGGUAUUUAACCAGAAAGCCACGGCUAACUACGUGCCAGCAGCCGCGGUAAUACGUAGGUGGCAAGCGUUGUCCGGAUUUAUUGGGCGUAAAGCGAGCGCAGGCGGUUUUUUAAGUCUGAUGUGAAAGCCUUCCGCUCCACCGAAGAAGUGCAUCGGAAACUGGGAAACUUGAGUGCAGAAGAGGACAGUGGAACUCCAUGUGUAGCGGUGAAAUGCGUAGAUAUAUGGAAGAGCACCAGUGGCGAAGGCGGCUGUCUGGUCUGUAACUGACGCUGAGGCUCGAAAGUAUGGGUAGCAAGCAGG